GAUGAACGCUGGCGGCGUGCCUAAUACAUGCAAGUCGAGCGAACAGAUAAGGAGCUUGCUCCUUUGACGUUAGCGGCGGACGGGUGAGUAACACGUGGGUAACCUACCUAUAAGACUGGGAUAACUUCGGGAAACCGGAGCUAAUACCGGAUAAUAUUUCGAACCGCAUGGAUCGAUAGUGAAAGAUGGUUUUGCUAUCACUUAUAGAUGGACCCGCGCCGUAUUAGCUAGUUGGUAAGGUAACGGCUUACCAAGGCGACGAUACGUAGCCGACCUGAGAGGGUGAUCGGCCACACUGGAACUGAGACACGGUCCAGACUCCUACGGGAGGCAGCAGUAGGGAAUCUUCCGCAAUGGGCGAAAGCCUUACGGAGCAACGCCGCGUGAGUGAUGAAGGUCUUCGGAUCGUAAAACUCUGUUAUUAGGGAAGAACAUACGUGUAAGUAACUGUGCACGUCUUGACGGUACCUAAUCAGAAAGCCACGGCUAACUACGUG
rnacentral:rRNA from 1 species